rnacentral:rRNA from 1 species
CCUACGGGAGGCAGCAGUUAGGAAUCUUCCACAAUGGGCGCAAGCCUGAUGGAGCGACACUGCAUGAGGGAUGAAGGUUUUCGGAUCGUAAACCUCUGAACUAGGGACGAUAAUGACGGUACCUAGGUAAUAGCACCGGCUAACUCCGUGCCAGCAGCCGCGGUAAU